GACCCGAAACAACACAACUUUCACUAUUUUUAACGACGUAUUCGCUUUCUUGUUAUUUCGAAGCUAUUUCGCUAUCACGUUUGGUCUCUUAACUUCUGCCACUUUUUUUGAAAACAGGUUUUACAGUCAGCUGGUGAUCAAUUAAAAGAUGGAAGCUUCUUCAGGGAAAAAAGUUGGGGAGAAUCCUCAAAAUGAAAUAAGUCAUGGAGCUUCAACCAAAAGUUACUGUCAUCAGCUUCCACAACCAACUGUUGAUACGGGUAACAAUCAUGAUACAGAUAGUGACCAGGGGACAGAGUUGGCUGAA